GACGAACGCUGGCGGCGUGCUUAACACAUGCAAGUCGAACGGAAAGGCCCUGCUUGUGUGGGGUGCUCGAGGGGCGAACGGGUGAGUAACACGUGAGUAACCUGCCCUUGACUUUGGGAUAACUUCAGGAAACUGCGGCUAAUACCUGAUAGGAGCUGCUGCUGCUGGGUGGGGGUUGGAAAGUUUCGGCGGAGGGGGAUGUACGCCGGGCUUACCAGCUUGUUGGGUGGGUAGUUGCUUACCCAGGCUUUGAUGGGUCGCCGGCCUGGGAGGGGAGCCAGCCACAAGGGGCCUACGGUACGGACCAGACUCGUAUGGGAGGCAGCAGUGGAGAAUAUGGCACAAUGGGCGGAAGCCUGUUGCAGCGACGCCGCGAGCGUGAUGACGUCCUUCGGGUUAGAAACCGCUUUCGGCUGAGACGAAGCGUUAGUGACGGUAAUGAGUAAAGAAGCACCGGCUAACUACGUG
rnacentral:rRNA from 1 species